rnacentral:rRNA from 1 species
UACGUAGGUGACAAGCGUUGUCCGGAUUUACUGGGCGUAAAGAGCGCGCAGGCGGUCGUUCAAGUCGAGUGUGAAAGCCCCCGGCUCAACUGGGGAGGGUCAUUCGAUACUGAUCGACUCGAAGGCAGGAGAGGGAAGUGGAAUUCCCGGUGUAGUGGUGAAAUGCGUAGAUAUCGGGAGGAACACCAGUGGCGAAGGCGGCCUCUGGACCAAUACUGGACGCUCAUGCACGAAAGCGUGGGGAGCAAACAGG